UGGUGACUGUUUCAAGAGGAUUUCAGACUAUUGGCAAGCACAUGAUAACAGACUGUGGGCAUUUGCCUCUGAAUAAUUCCUUGAAUUCGCAUGAAAAAUGUACAGGUGAUUCAAUUUGUUGUAGGAGAUUGCUGGAAGAAAAGAGAAGGCAGCAACUCCAAUGAAGCAGAGGACUACAGAGGGUGUGGGACAGGCUAAUUCCUAGUAUUGUGGCUGUUAUGAAGACAGCUAGGGCCAAUCUGCCCACUUUUGAUUUCAUUUACACUAAUUUAUGAGGACAAUGAAAUCCAAAACAUUAAGGUGAAAAUGUUCUUCCAACCAAAUGCUCCUUUUUGAUGACUGUGUCUUUCCUUUGUAGCUAAUCCCUUGUUUUUACAACGAUGCCAAGCACACUUGCUGGGCAAACUUCCCUCUUUCUUAGGGACAUGGUUUAGUGGGCAGUAUCACUGGUAUGUGAACAACUGGACCUAGAUGAUCUCAGAGGUCUUUCCAACCUUAAUGCUUCUAUGAUUCCAUUCUAUGAUUUUUCAUCUGAAUGUGACUAUGUCACAGCUCCUUUAUGAGCUGGAACGGAGGACAGCACUGAGCUCUGCUCUCAGCAGUAGGGUUUAGGUGGUGCUGUGUGGAGCCUGGGGUUGGACUCUAUGAUCCCUGUGGGUCCUCUCCAACUCAUGAUAUUCCAUGAUUCUAUGAAGCGAAAGUACCCCCCAAUUUAUUGUUCAAAGUGAUAAAGAACUUCAGAUGAGUGGUCACGAGGCUUUGCAGUGCUCUCAGAAAACAAUCAGCCAAGAGUGGAGCAAAGGUUAAUUUUUCCAGUUAAAGAAGUCUCUGCCUGGCUCUGGAGGAAAGCAUGAAAAACUUUGCUUCAAUUUGCAGAUUUGAAGCAGUUCAGAAGUGCUGCAUUUAUUUUUUGUAAGGAAAGCCAUGACGUAAUGAUACAAGCACCACAGCUCAAUACUGGAAAGCUAUAAGGCCUGUGAGGUUUGAGAACAAAAAGAGUUGGCCAAAGGAAAAAGAACUUACAGUAACAGUAACAGCUGCAGGGCUCCACUUACUGAAUUACAGCUACAGGGAUAGACACCUUGAGGGGCUGCUAUGCAUGAGCCUCAUCUGAACCGCCUGAUUCAGUAUGAGGAAGCAGAACAAAGUACUUUUCCCUUCUCCAUCACCACUGAAGUUAUGCUGGAUUGCAGGACGGCAAGAGCAAAGCAACAGAAACAACAGCAGAAAGGUGGAGAAUGGAGGUGGCUAAAGCCAGUAUUAGCGUUAGUAAUAGACUUCAAUUCCAUGAGGCAAUUUUCAGAAGUUUGCCAUUAAAUAGUUAUUUUUAAAAUGUCUGGUGUUUAAUCCUGUAGUUUCAAUACUGUAUCUGGCAAGCAAGCAAACCAGGCAAUCAGACCUUAAUCUUUCUGCCCUGCUGCUGACCCUUGAGAAAGAUCAAGACAAGCUCUUUAAUCCUCUCUCUUUUUACUUUUGCUUCUGUAACUUACAUUUCUAUAUAUUUAGCAGAGCUUCCUCUACUCCUAGCUCAUUUGUCAAUCAUUACUUGAGGCUGCAGAUGCAAUUCAAACAACAGAGAGGAAAACAAGCACUGAA